GAGCACCAGCUGCAUGAAACAAAAGGAAGGGUGCAAUGUCCCUCUAGAAAUAGCCUGUCCCAGCAGCCAGGGCACCGGCUGAAGUGUUGAUUUUCCAAGGUGCAGUAUGAGAACAAAUGGACCUGAUCCAAAAAUAUGAGUGAAUCUCGUCCUUCCAGUCACAGUGACCAUGAUACCCGGUGGUGCAGAGCUCUACUCCCUGGCUUUGGGUCCCAGCUCCCCUUUCCUGGUCCCAGGACCUUGAACAACUUGGUUGACCCCUCUGGCCUCCGUGUUCUCCUCCCUUAUGUGGAAAUGUUGCUGAUAAUGGCACCUCUGUUGUGCCUGACUCCAAGCGUUGAGGGUCAAGUGCUCAGACCUCCCUAUCUUCCAGCGUCAACAACUGCGUGCAGUGGUAAACAAACAUUCCACAUUGCACUACUUCUGCACACUUCCUAAGGAGUAGCCAUAAUUCAAAAUAACAGAGUAACAGAAAGAGAUGAACUGGUUAACCAACCCCUUCCAGGCGAGUUUUUCCAAGAUUCCCAACAGCUCAGCUGUCACUCCAAGGACCAGCAGCUGUGAGGUUAAAGACUGCACGCCAGGUGCUGGGGUCACCUAGGUACUCCCUGGGGCUGCGGCUUCUUGAGGCUGCACCAUCUCCACCUGGGGGUUGGCAGAAAGGUCCCAAAGAUCUCUCUGGGAGGAUUAUGGGGAUGCGAGCUCAGUGGGAGGUCCACCUGCCAGAGGAGCUGGCAGUCCUGAGGCCGUGGUGGGGGAGAUGAGCUGGGAGCUCACAGAAGCAGUGACGGCAGAAGCCUGGUCCAAAAGUGAGAACUUUCCCUGGUGACCCAAGCUCGCAGGCCUUCAUCUAUGAAACAAAGGGCUUGACUGUAUCUGCAUGGCCAACACUGAUCUUCAGAACAGCAGCGUGGCAAAGAUGGCAAUAAACAGUCCCAACAAAUAUGCGCAAGUCAGUUUAGAAGACGAUGUAUCGUGCAAAGUGAAAGCAGCGCAGGUUCCUCAGCAUCUUCACUGGCCCAGUGUGGAUGCUGGCUCUGGUGGGAGGGGAGCAGUAGACACAACCUUUCCCAGGUGUGUUGAGCCAAAGACCCCAUUUGCCCACAGGAUACCUGCUAGGAGCUCAUGGACAAGUGGUCCUCGGAGCACAUUUUGGAAACACUCAGGAAAAAAAUGUACAGCUGCAUUACCGAUCAAAAAAUACAAAUAUAUACAUGUAUAUUUGUAUAUACAUGUAUAUAUACAGCGCGGACCCUUGAACAACACGGAUUUGAACUGCGCAGGUGCACUCGUAUGCAGAUUGUCUUGCACUCUGCCACCCCUGAGACCCCUGAGAAAGCAGGACCAACCCCUCCUCCUCCUCAGCCUACUCAACGUGAAGAUGAAGAUCUUUCUGACAAUUUACUUGCACUUAAUGAAUGAUAAAUAUAUCAAAUAUAUUUUCUCUUCCUUAUGGUUUUCUUUUUUUCUUUAUAAUUUUCUUGAGACAUAG
rnacentral:lncRNA from 1 species